CUCUAUUGAGGUCGGAAAUGGCACCCGACACACUCUGAAAAGAGUACCUGAGAUGCAAGAGUGCCGCCUUGCCAAUAGUG
rfam:Clostridium leptum CAG:27 genomic scaffold, scf143